GACAGAGGAUGCAAGCGUUAUCCGGAAUGAUUGGGCGUAAAGAGCUCGUAGGCGGCUUGUCGCGUCGGAUGUGAAAGCCCGGGGCUUAACUCCGGGUCUGCAUUCGAUACGGGCAGGCUAGAGUUCGGUAGGGGAGAUCGGAAUUCCUGGUGUAGCGGUGGAAUGCGCAGAUAUCAGGAGGAACACCGGUGGCGAAGGCGGGUCUCUGGGCAGUAACUGACGCUGAGGAGCGAAAGCGUGGGGAGCGAACAGG
rnacentral:rRNA from 1 species